rnacentral:rRNA from 1 species
UCAGGACGAACGCUGGCGGCGUGCCUAAUACAUGCAAGUCGAGCGGAUCUUUGGGAGCUUGCUCCCAAAGGUUAGCGGCGGACGGGUGAGUAACACGUGGGCAACCUGCCUAUGAGACUGGGAUAACUCCGGGAAACCGGGGCUAAUACCGGAUAAUUCUUUUCUACACAUGUAGAAAAGCUGAAAGAUGGUUUCGGCUAUCACUCAUAGAUGGGCCCGCGGCGCAUUAGCUAGUUGGUGAGGUAACGGCUCACCAAGGCGACGAUGCGUAGCCGACCUGAGAGGGUGAUCGGCCACACUGGGACUGAGACACGGCCCAGACUCCUACGGGAGGCAGCAGUAGGGAAUCUUCCGCAAUGGACGAAAGUCUGACGGAGCAACGCCGCGUGAGUGAUGAAGGUUUUCGGAUCGUAAAACUCUGUUGUUAGGGAA